AUAUUAAGCCCAGGUUGGCCUCAACUUUAGUAAAGGAUUAAUGGUCUGCUCAUCCGAAAUGGCAGAGGCCUCAAGGAGGAUAUCUGGCAGUGUGGGAAGGAGGGAGAAGUGAAGCCAUCUUGCUUCUAUGCCACCAUUUUGGAACUGGAGUGUGAAGUUGAACGUUUUGAUGAAUGCCUAGAAAAAUGGUUGAGCCAAGGACUCAGCUAAAUAUUUCAGUUUUGUGCAACCCCACAAAAAAGCUGUGGCUAAUCGAUCCAAGCAGAGAAAACUGACCAAACCUGGAUCAAUGCGAUUAUCUUCUUUUGGGAAUUUGAAAAUUGAAAAGGACAUGCUCAGAGUGAGAAGAGUUUGUCGGAGGUGAAUUAUUUCACACUAGAAACAGAGACAAAAUGUUCAUUAUUUCCCCUGAGUUUCCAGGAAUACUUUCCUUCUUUAAUCCUAUUUCAUUCCAUAUUUAAGGAACUGGGGUGAUUACAGUAAGUUAGAAAUGCUGUAAAUCUUAAUUACUACCAAAUUGGAAAAUGAAAUGCACUACCUUCUUGGAGAAACUACAGAGAUUAAUGCUAGCAUCAAAAACUUAGCAUACUUCUGUAUGAUAUAUUUCAUUAAAUUUCGGUUCCAUUUUCCAACUUAACAAUUAUAAGACUUCUAGAUUACAAGUGUUGAUUUAAAUUUAAUCAAGUAGAGACUCUGAUAGGAACUUUCUGUGGCAGUUUUAGUGUCCUUGCUGUAAAAAAGUUUACAAUAAAUAAUAUCUGCAAUGCAUUUUACCUUUCAAAUGCAUUUUUCUAGCAUCUGAUAUACAAGGACUAGCAGAAGUAGUUCCUUUUGCCUGGUGAAAAAAACAAAUUCUUGCCAUCUGUUUUGGAAUAUCUCAACUCUGACUCCAUGCCACAGCAACUUUGAUUGCCUCAAAGGACAUCAUACUAGGCGACUACACAGGCAGACUUUAUUGUAUUGCACUUUCUUUUUUUGUGCUUUGCAGAUACUGUGUUUUUUACAAAAUAAAGAUUUGAGCAAAUCUAUUGGCAUAAUUUUUUCCAACAGAAUGUGCUUAAUUUGCAUAUCUGUGUUACAUUUUGGUAAUUCUAGCAGUAUUUCAGACAUUUUCAUUUUUAUUAUGUUUGCUAUUGUGAUCUAUGAUCAAUGAUCUUUGAUGCUACUACUGUAAUUGUUUUGAAGCACCACAAACCACGCCCAUAUAAAGCUGUAAACAUAAUCAAUAAAUGUGUGUGUUGUGACUGC
rnacentral:lncRNA from 1 species